rnacentral:rRNA from 1 species
UGGCGGACGGGUGAGUAACACGUGGGUAAUCUGCCUUAUACAGGGGGAUAACAGUUAGAAAUGACUGCUAAUACCGCAUAAGCGCACGGAAACGCAUGUUUCAGUGUGAAAAACUCCGGUAGUAUAAGAUGAGCCCGCGUCUGAUUAGCUGGUUGGUGGGGUAACGGCCUACCAAGGCGACGAUCAGUAGCCGGCCUGAGAGGGUGGACGGCCACAUUGGGACUGAGACACGGCCCAAACUCCUACGGAAGGCAGCAG